rnacentral:ncRNA from 2 species
GAGAUAUGAGGAGAUGAAGCUCUCCUGAUAAACUUUAUCAAACUGCUAAAUGCUAAUAGCUUCUACGACCUG